ACAGGGGAGCUUGCUCUCUGGGUGACGAGCGGCGGCCGUUUGAGUAAUGUCUGGGAAACUGCCUGAUGGAGGGGGAUCACUACUGGAAACGGUAGCUAAUACCGCAUAACGUCGCAAGACCAAAGAGGGGGACCUUCGGGCCUCUUGCCAUCAGAUGUGCCCAGAUGGGAUUAGCUAGUAGGUGGGGUAAUGGCUCACCUAGGCGACGAUCCCUAGCUGGUCUGAGAGGAUGACCAGCCACACUGGAACUGAGACACGGUCCAGACUCCUACGGGAGGCAGCAGUGGGGAAUAUUGCACAAUGGGCGCAAGCCUGAUGCAGCCAUGCCGCGUGUGUGAAGAAGGCCUUCGGGUUGUAAAGCACUUUCAGCGAGGAGGAAGGUGGUGAGCUUAAUACGCUCAUCAAUUGACGUUACUCGCAGAAGAAGCACCGGCUAACUCCGUGCCAGCAGCCGCGGUAAUACGGAGGGUGCAAGCGUUAAUCGGAAUUACUGGGCGUAAAGCGCACGCAGGCGGUUUGUUAAGUCAUAUGUGAAAUCCCCGGGCUCAACCUGGGAACUGCAUUUGAAACUGGCAAGCUAGAGUCUCGUAGAGGGGGGUAGAAUUCCAGGUGUAGCGGUGAAAUGCGUAGAGAUCUGGAGGAAUACCGGUGGCGAAGGCGGCCCCCUGGACGAAGACUGACGCUCAGGUGCGAAAGCGUGGAGAGCAAACAGGAUUAGAUACCCUGGUAGUCCACGCUGUAAACGAUGUCGAUUUGGAGGUUGUGCCCUUGAGGCGUGGCUUCCGGAGCUAACGCGUUAAAUCGACCGCCUGGGGAGUACGGCCGCAAGGUUAAAACUCAAAUGAAUUGACGGGGGCCCGCACAAGCGGUGGAGCAUGUGGUUUAAUUCGAUGCAACGCGAAGAACCUUACCUACUCUUGACAUCCAGAGAACUUAGCAGAGAUGCUUUGGUGCCUUCGGGAACUCUGAGACAGGUGCUGCAUGGCUGUCGUCAGCUCGUGUUGUGAAAUGUUGGGUUAAGUCCCGCAACGAGCGCAACCCUUAUCCUUUGUUGCCAGCGGUUCGGCCGGGAACUCAAAGGAGACUGCCAGUGAUAAACUGGAGGAAGGUGGGGAUGACGUCAAGUCAUCAUGGCCCUUACGAGUAGGGCUACACACGUGCUACAAUGGCAUAUACAAAGAGAAGCGACCUCGCGAGAGCAAGCGGACCUCAUAAAGUAUGUCGUAGUCCGGAUUGGAGUCUGCAACUCGACUCCAUGAAGUCGGAAUCGCUAGUAAUCGUAGAUCAGAAUGCGACGGUGAAUACGUUCCCGGGCCUUGUACACACCGCCCGACAGGCCAUGGGAGUGGGUGCAAAAGAAGUAGGUAGCUUACCUUCGGGAGGGCGCUAUUAGUGUGUCACGAGCAGUUUAUCCAAUCCAAGUGCGC
rnacentral:rRNA from 1 species